GAUCUUGCGCUGGGAUCCAAUAUAGCACCAGGAUCCUUAUAGCACCAGGAUCCUGCGCUGAGAUCCAGUAUAGCACCGGGACCC